UGUCUAAAGCUGGGAAUGAUAAAGCCCUAGAGAUGAUGGACGAAUUAUUAGGGUUAUUGAUGCGUGUGGAGCCUGAUAUAGGUACUGGUGAGAGUUGUGGCACAAGUGUUUGCGAUGACAUCCAGGUCGAAGCGUAUGAAACAGAAGAAAUGGCUAUAGACAACUUACGCAAAUUAGAUGAUGGGAACGAGGAAAUUUUAAUGGGCUCUAAUACAAAUGAAUGCAAUACUAAGGAUGAUCAAUGUAAUAUGCAGAUAUUAACAUUGGAACAUAACACUGACAUUCGG